rnacentral:rRNA from 1 species
UUAGAGUUUGAUCAUGGCUCAGAUUGAACGCUGGCGGCAGGCCUAACACAUGCAAGUCGAACGGUAGCACAGAGAGCUUGCUCUCGGGUGACGAGUGGCGGACGGGUGAGUAAUGUCUGGGAAACUGCCUGAUGGAGGGGGAUAACUACUGGAAACGGUAGCUAAUACCGCAUAACGUCGCAAGACCAAAGAGGGGGACCUUCGGGCCUCUUGCCAUCAGAUGUGCCCAGAUGGGAUUAGCUAGUAGGUGGGGUAAUGGCUCACCUAGGCGACGAUCCCUAGCUGGUCUGAGAGGAUGACCAGCCACACUGGAACUGAGACACGGUCCAGACUCCUACGGGAGGCAGCAGUGGGGAAUAUUGCACAAUGGGCGCAAGCCUGAUGCAGCCAUGCCGCGUGUAUGAAGAAGGCCUUCGGGUUGUAAAGUACUUUCAGCGAGGAGGAAGGCGGUGAGGUUAAUAACCUCAUCGAUUGACGUUACUCGCAGAAGAAGCACCGGCUAACUCCGUGCCAGCAGCCGCGGUAAUACGGAGGGUGCAAGCGUUAAUCGGAAUUACUGGGCGUAAAGCGCACGCAGGCGGUCUGUCAAGUCGGAUGUGAAAUCCCCGGGCUCAACCUGGGAACUGCAUUCGAAACUGGCAGGCUAGAGUCUUGUAGAGGGGGGUAGAAUUCCAGGUGUAGCGGU